rnacentral:rRNA from 1 species
AGCGAACGCUGGCGGCAGGCCUAACACAUGCAAGUCGAACGAAGUCUUCGGACUUAGUGGCGGACGGGUGAGUAACACGUGGGAACGUGCCUUUAGGUUCGGAAUAACGCAGGGAAACUUGUGCUAAUACCGAAUGUGCCCUUCGGGGGAAAGAUUUAUCGCCUUUAGAGCGGCCCGCGUCUGAUUAGCUAGUUGGUGAGGUAAAGGCUCACCAAGGCUACGAUCAAUAGCUGGUCUGAGAGGAUGACCAGCCACAUUGGGACUGAGACACGGCCCAAACUCCUACGGGAGGCAGCAGUGGGGAAUCUUGCGCAAUGGGCGAAAGCCUGACGCAGCCAUGCCGCGUGGAUGAUGAAGGUCUUAGGAUUGUAAAAUCCUUUCACCGGUGAAGAUAAUGACUGUAGCCGGAGAAGAAGCCCCGGCUAACUUCGUGCCAGCCGCCGCGGUAACAC